rnacentral:rRNA from 1 species
GAUGAACGCUGGCGGCGUGCUUAAUACAUGCAAGUCGAACGAAGCACCUUGGACAGAAUCCUUCGGGAGGAAGACCAUUGUGACUGAGUGGCGGACGGGUGAGUAACGCGUGGGUAACCUGCCUUGUACAGGGGGAUAACAGUUGGAAACGACUGCUAAUACCGCAUAAGCGCACAGUACCGCAUGGUACGGUGUGAAAAACUCCGGUGGUACAAGAUGGACCCGCGUCUGAUCAGCUGGUUGGUGAGGUAACGGCCCACCAAGGCGACGAUCAGUAGCCGACUUGAGAGAGCGAUCGGCCACAUUGGGACUGAGACACGGCCCAAACUCCUACGGGAGGCAGCAGUAGGGAAUAUUGCACAAUGGGGGAAACCCUGAUGCAGCGACGCCGCGUGAAGGAAGAAGUAUUUCGGUAUGUAAACUUCUAUCAGCAAGGAAGAAAAUGACGGUACUUGACUAAGAAGCCCCGGCUAAAUACGUGCCAGCCGCCGCCGUAAGAC